CGUUUGGGAGGGUUCCUGUUUCCCAAGUCUCCCAUUCUGGCCUGUUUCCCAGAGCCGGGGAGGAAAGGGGGCGGCGAGAGGGAGGAUGAGUCCACCUCUGUGGAUCUGGGUGCCUGUAAGAGAGACAACAUGGACCGGAGACAGAGACCAUGCGCAGGGAGAAAAUAAUGUGAAUUACUCUGUAUCUUCAUAAAGUAUGCACAGCCCUGGGCACUUGAAGGCCCCUCUGUAUCCCCAGUAUAUCUUCUGUAUACAGCAUGUGCCCUGUGACCCAGGGAGCCCUUGAUGUCAGCUGGCAGAGGGCACAGGGCAGCAUAAGGAUUCCCUGGGUUGGCUACCUGCAUAAUAGCUCACCGAAGGGUGGCAUGUGAGGUCUCUAUCGAGAGCCAGUAGCCUACUGAUUGUCACAGUCAUUGUGAAAUGUACAUACAGGUAAUAUUUAAAGAGUCAUGUAUCUAUAAUAAAAAUUAUGUUCUUACGGUCUUUUAGUUAAGGCCGGUCACCAGGUAGUGACAUACCUCGGAGAUGUUCCUUUCAGACAGGAGGUAAUAGACACCUAUUUCCCUGUCUGGCCAUUUGUGUGUUGUGCGCCUCUCAGUGGAUGUCUAUUUGCAAACUGAGCCAGGUCUAAAUUGAGAGGCUGUACAAGAGAGGCAAUCUAUAGGGAGAAAGAAGCAGCAGGGGUGGGGGUGGCCUGUUGAUGAAUAAAGAUAAAGAAUUGGCUGGUAUAUCUUUGUGUGCAAGAGACACGCUGAAUUCUUCACCAAGGAGGCCAACUGACUGUAUUCUUCUCAUGAAAGGAGGGUCCCAGCCAGCCUGGCUGUAAAACUCUGCAAGGAUUUUGGAGAUCUGUGUCCAGAGAAAGCAUCAUGAGCAGGCUGGGCUGUUAAUCUCAAAAUCUGCAGUACUAUUGUUAGAUUUAAAAUUGAUUCAGGGGCAGAAAGGUCUGUGAUUUGUGAAGCGUCUUUUAAGAAGAGCCCUAGCUCUGACCCAGAGUAACCAAGGGCAGAGCUCAGUAGCCUAGAGGCACAGAUAAAUGAGCCAACCUUAUCAGAGCUUGCGAGAGUAAUUCUAGAAGGAUGGACUAUGUAAAAAAUCCCAGGUCCUUCCAAACACAAAAUCCCUUUGGGAAUACAGUGAUGGAAUUCCUGCAUCUCAUGGGAUUCUGUCCAAAGGACACCAUUGUCAUGAUGCCACACAGCGUGAGAUCACAAAUACUAAGCAUUAUCCACAGUGCUCUUCUGGGUAUGGAGAAGUGUAAGAACAAAGCCCGAGAUGCCAUGUUGCAGCCAGGCAGGAAUGCUCCUUUGAAGAUAAGGUAUCCUAGUGUGGAAUCUGCAGUCAGGUGAGGAAACAAGAACCUCUGUUUGCCUUUGGUUUAAAAUUGGUACAGAUCUGUUUGAAUUAAGUGGGAAUGAUCCUCCAUUAUUAGUGGACAACUACUCAAUUAAAAAAAAAUUGAGAUGUUGCACAACACAUCAAGUAGCAAUGUAAUAACAAACACUGUGAAUUGCAGGUAGCUCAUCAUGUGAUUCCAGAAGAAUCACAGAUAAAGGUGCCCACAAGUCACAAAUUAUUUUUAUUAUAGUAACAUGUAGGGGCCCCAGUUGUGGACCAGGCACAGUACAAAACACCACAGAUAGUUCCUGCCCCAGAAAGCUGACAAUGUGAGUAUAUGACAAGACAAGAGACAACAGAUGGAUGCAGACAGGUAGGGGAGCACAAGGAAACAAUGAGAAAAUACUGGUCAGCAUAAUAGGUAGUUGAUCUCAGUACGACAUUGUCAAGUUUUUUGAAAGCCAAUAGCUCAAUUUAACCAUUCCCUUUGAUAUCUCAGUUCAGCCACGUUAUGUCACAUCCUUUCGAUGCACAAUCAAAUAGGUUAGCAGAAGAGUAGUACAAAUAGCAAAAAAACUUGAGCAGAUGAAAACAAAAAGUGGCAGAUUCAGUGGAUCCCAAACUUAGUACUGUCAGAAUAUUGCAACCCAUUUAUCACUGCUUUAUUUGGAUCCCCAGCGAGAUACUUGUGGGCAGAAGGACAAAAACCUAGCACCAACAUAUGAAAAAGUUCUUGAGCCAUAAUCAAGGAACGCUGAAGUAGUUUACCAAAGAGCUACAUACCAGGAGACAAGAACAGUGGAAGUUCUAUGACAGGAAUGCCAAAUUGCUACCUCCACUGUGAGUGGGAGAAUGUCAGAUUCCAAACCCACUGCUGGACCAUCCUCAUUAAGGUCCAUCAUAACCACCGCUCAGUCCUCCACAGGAGAAGAGGUAUUGGCUCUGUUUCUUGAGGAACAUCCAGAAUGUUGCUGGAAGUGCUUGGAUGCUGCCAAGAAUUG